CAAGAAGUCAGAGCCCAUUUUAGGGGUGAUGGCGUGCCUUUUGUAGAAUGAACCGGCGAGUUACGUUCCCGUGCAAGGUUAAGGUGAAGAGCUGAAGCCGCAGCGAAAGCGAGUCUGAAUAGGGCGACUUGAGUACGUGGACGUAGACCCGAAACCGGGUGAUCUACCCCUGUCCAGGGUGAAGGUGCGGUAACACGCACUGGAGGCCCGAACCCACGCAUGUUGAAAAAUGCGGGGAUGAGGUGGGGGUAGCG
rnacentral:rRNA from 1 species